rnacentral:lncRNA from 1 species
CAGGAAUUCAUCAUCUAAUGGAUUAUUUGGAGAUGGUGUAGAAUUUUUUUUUUUUUUUUUUUUAUCUUUUUACAAAAUGGUGACCUGGUUGGAGUUGAUCGCGAUGAUGGAUUGAACGUUUUGAUUUUUGGCGUAGACCCGAUUUCUCUGUCUUUUUCCACUGUGUGGGUGCUUUUCGCAAUUAUAUGGGUUUUUUUUCGAGGCCUUUCUUUUUGUCUGUCAAUUUUCGUCGUCGUCUUGUUGACCUUUGUUUCUCCAAUCGUGCUUUUCCACAUCUG